rnacentral:rRNA from 1 species
GAUGAACGCUGGCGGCGUGCUUAACACAUGCAAGUCGAACGGGAAACCUUUUAUUGAAGCUUCGGCAGAUUUAGCUGGUUUCUAGUGGCGGACGGGUGAGUAACGCGUGGGUAACCUGCCUUAUACAGGGGGAUAACAACCAGAAAUGGUUGCUAAUACCGCAUAAGCGCACAGGACCGCAUGGUCCGGUGUGAAAAACUCCGGUGGUAUAAGAUGGACCCGCGUUGGAUUAGCUAGUUGGCAGGGUAACGGCCUACCAAGGCGACGAUCCAUAGCCGGCCGGGGGGGGGGAACGGCACAAUGGGGACUGGGACACGGCCCAGACUCCUAGGGGAGGCAGCAGGGGGGAAAUUUGCAAAAGGGGGGAAACCCUAAGGCAGCGACGCCGGGUGAAGGAAGAAGUAUCUCGGUAUGUAAACUUCUAUCAGCAGGGAAGAUAGGGGCGGUACUGACCUAAGAAGCCCCGGCUAACUACGU